rnacentral:rRNA from 1 species
AACGAACGCUGGCGGCAUGCCUAACACAUGCAAGUCGAACGAGACCUUCGGGUCUAGUGGCGCACGGGUGCGUAACGCGUGGGAACCUGCCUUUAGGUUCGGAAUAACUCAGAGAAAUUUGAGCUAAUACCGGAUGAUGUCUUCGGACCAAAGAUUAUCGCCUUUAGAUGGGCCCGCGUUGGAUUAGCUAGUUGGUGGGGUAAAGGCCUACCAAGGCGACGAUCCAUAGCUGGUCUGAGAGGAUGAUCAGCCACACUGGGACUGAGACACGGCCCAGACUCCUACGGGAGGCAGCAGUGGGGAAUAUUGGACAAUGGGCGAAAGCCUGAUCCAGCAAUGCCGCGUGAGUGAUGAAGGCCUUAGGGUUGUAAAGCUCUUUUACCCGAGAUGAUAAUGACAGUAUCGGGAGAAUAAGCUCCGGCUAACUCCGUG